rnacentral:rRNA from 1 species
AUUGAACGCUGGCGGCAGGCUUAACACAUGCAAGUCGAGCGGAGAUGAGGUGCUUGCACCUUAUCUUAGCGGCGGACGGGUGAGUAAUGCUUAGGAAUCUGCCUAUUAGUGGGGGACAACAUUCCGAAAGGAAUGCUAAUACCGCAUACGUCCUACGGGAGAAAGCAGGGGAUCUUCGGACCUUGCGCUAAUAGAUGAGCCUAAGCCGGAUUAGCUAGUUGGUGGGGUAAAGGCCUACCAAGUGGACGAUCUGUAGCGGGGCUGAGAGGAUGAUCCGCCACACUGGGACUGAGCCACGGCCCAGACUCCUACGGGAGGAAGCAGUGGGGAAUAUUGGACAAUGGGGGGAACCCUGAUCCAGCCAUGCCGCGUGUGUGAAGAAGGCCUUAUGGUUGUAAAGCACUUUAAGCGAGGAGGAGGCUACUGAGACUAAUACUCUUGGAUAGUGGACGUUACUCGCAGAAUAAGCACCGGCUAACUCUGUGCCAGCCGCCGCGGUAACAC